UGUUAUUAAACCCGUUCCAAUCUAAUAAAAAAUUUAGUUUGGAUUGGGAAUCGAAACUAUUUAGCAGAUUAACUUGUAAUUUGACUAAUCCAAUUAAAUUAAGUUAAGCCGUCAAAUUUAUUACAGGGUCGUAAAACAGGCGAAGUUUAAUAAAUUUGAUAUAAACUUCCCCAAGCCCGACGACACCAUCACUUCAUCCUUGUCUCGAAGAAAAGAAGAAGGAAAAAAAUGUCGAGAAAUCAGCAGCACCUUCUCCGGCUAGUCCUGUCUUGCCGAAAAAUAACAGCUCAGGUAUCAAACCCGACGACUUCCACAAUAAUCGCGAUGGCUUCUUCCUCCGAACAAGAAUCAUUCCUCUCUAUCUACCGCAACACUUCCCUCUCUAUCUUCUCUCGCCAAUCCCGGGACUCAAAAACGGCGUCGCGUGUUGGGGAGAAGUUAGGGUUUAGAUUAAAGGAAAUCGGGGUUAAUAAUAUCUAUAUUGAUUUAAACGAAGAGUUGUCAAGGCCGAUUCAUUAUAGAAAGCGUGUGUUGCCGUUGUUUGUUUCGGUGAAACGCGUCGGCAUUGAAGUUGAUGGAGCUGAGAAGCUAGGAGAGAUCGGUCCUGUUUGAUGGAUUGUCAGGAUUUGAUUGUUUAGUACACAUUUUUCAUAAAGAGAGCUGGCUCAGUUCGAGAAGGGCUUCUUAGGAGUUAUGCUAUGGAUCUGUAGCUGAUUGAGGAUAAAGGGUAUUGGGUAAUUGAGGUACAUUGUGGUUUGCAGUAUUGGUAUGGGUAGAGGGUGUGAUGUUUCGGAGAAUACAUGGUAAGAUAAGGGUAGGCUUAGUGUUACUGGUUUGCGGGGUCAUGUGAAAUUGAGUGUAUUUGCUCGGUUUGUUUUGAUCUAUAUGCGAAAGAAAAUAGUAAGCUUUGGAUUGUUUGAACAAUGUAAGUCUAGUUUUGGAAUCUAGUUUGAAUGCAAGUUGGUUUGGUAAUGCUCGAAUUGUUUGCUAGUUUUCAA